ncrna:unclassified sequences Bacteroidales-1 6S-Bacteroidales RNA suggested
AGCCGCACUUGUUCGAUUGGGAAACUCAUCAGUUUAUUUUAAUUCCGAGACAUAGCUCUUGUCGCCAAUGGCGGGCCGCACCCUUCGGGGUAUGCUUAGCACGGCGGAUUACAACGGUGGCAAAGCACUCAAAUCCUGUCCUACGGAGUUUGUUCCUAUUCUACCGUGCGGCUUUUUCC